GUGUGCUACAGCUUCCAACUCCUGGGCUCGAACCAUCCUCCUGCGUCAGCCCCACAAGUACUGGGGAGCACAGGUGUGUGUCACUGUGUCCGGCUGUGGUGACAGAUGGAGCCCCCGACACAGCUUUGUAACUCAAGGCACUGACAUCCAACCUGAAGGGCAAGAGUAGGGCAGUGAAAGUGCUGCAGACGGAGGCCUCUUCAAGCCUGGACACCUGCGGGAGAGAAACCCCCAGGAGUCAGGAUCACCGAACACCCAAAGACGUCCUGCUCUGGAAAGAGACUGCAGCCUCAACAAACAGGAGGAGUCACAGCUGAGAAACCAGAGGUAAUCAAAGUAGUCAGAACUUCACAGUCCUGGGAACCCAGCGAGGGAGGCCAGAGUGUCUACCGUUCACAGAGAGCCUCUCCAGAGCAGCAGGUGUGCCGAGGACGGGGACUCAGGCGUGUGCCUGGUUUGCAGCACCAGCAGCAGAGAUGGAGGAAAUCAGAGACUUCUGGGAGGAGGAAGGAGACGUGAAUGUCAAUGGAUUCAGGCCCAUCUCUAUUAAUUCUCUGAUAAAAUCAGAAAGCUGAUGGCCAGGCAUGGUGGUGUGUGCCUGUGGUCCCAGCUACUCACAGGGCUGAGAUGGGAGGAUCGAUUAAGCCCAGGAGGUGGAGGCUGCGGGAAGCCGUGACUGAGCCACUGCACUGCAGCCUGGGCAACAGAGCGAGACUCUGUCUCUAAAAAACAAGCAACAACAAAACGAAACAAAACAAAACAAAAGCAAGCAAGUGGAAACCGAGGAUUACUCAA